rnacentral:rRNA from 1 species
AGAGUUUGAUCCUGGCUCAGGAUGAACGCUGGCGGCGUGCCUAAUACAUGCAAGUCGAACGAGUUCUCGUUGAUGAUCGGUGCUUGCACCGAGAUUCAACAUGGAACGAGUGGCGGACGGGUGAGUAACACGUGGGUAACCUGCCCUUAAGUGGGGGAUAACAUUUGGAAACAGAUGCUAAUACCGCAUAGAUCCAAGAACCGCAUGGUUCUUGGCUGAAAGAUGGCGUAAGCUAUCGCUUUUGGAUGGACCCGCGGCGUAUUAGCUAGUUGGUGAGGUAAUGGCUCACCAAGGCGAUGAUACGUAGCCGAACUGAGAGGUUGAUCGGCCACAUUGGGACUGAGACACGGCCCAAACUCCUACGGGAGGCAGCAGUAGGGAAUCUUCCACAAUGGACGCAAGUCUGAUGGAGCAACGCCGCGUGAGUGAAGAAGGCUUUCGGGUCGUAAAACUCUGUUGUUGGAGAAGAAUGGUCGGCAGAGUAACUGUUGUCGGCGUGACGGUAUCCAACCAGAAAGCCACGGCUAACUACGUGCCAGCAGCCGCGGUAAUACGUAGGUGGCAAGCGUUGUCCGGAUUUAUUGGGCGUAAAGCGAGCGCAGGCGGUUUCUUAAGUCUGAUGUGAAAGCCCCCGGCUCAACCGGGGAGGGUCAUUGGAAACUGGGAGACUUGAGUGCAGAAGAGGAGAGUGGAAUUCCAUGUGUAGCGGUGAAAUGCGUAGAUAUAUGGAGGAACACCAGUGGCGAAGGCGGCUCUCUGGUCUGUAACUGACGCUGAGGCUCGAAAGCGUGGGGAGCAAACAGGAUUAGAUACCCUGGUAGUCCACGCCGUAAACGAUGAGUGCUAGGUGUUGGGUCCUUUCCGGGAUUCAGUGCCGCAGCUAACGCAUUAAGCACUCCGCCUGGGGAGUACGACCGCAAGGUUGAAACUCAAAGGAAUUGACGGGGGCCCG